rnacentral:rRNA from 1 species
UACAGAGGUUCCAAGCGUUGUUCGGAUUUACUGGGCGUAAAGGGAGCGUAGGUGGCAUUCUAAGUCUGAUGUGAAAGCUCUGAGCUUAACUCAGAAAUGGCAUUAGAAACUAGUUUGCUUGAGGAUUGGAGGGGAGAUUGGAAUUCUUGGUGUAGCAGUGAAAUGCGUAGAUAUCAAGAGGAACACCAGUGGCGAAGGCGAAUCUCUGGACAAUUCCUGACACUGAUGCUCGAAAGCUAGGGGAGCAAACGGG